GAUGGGUACACUAGCAAAGGUAUAGUAAUUCACAUGAGGUAAUUCCUGAAUGCAUGACCUGCAUGUUCAUUAGAUGACAUGAAGUAAAUGUAUUUGAACCACUGUUAUAAUUGUUCACAUGAUGACAUGAUUAGUUGUUAAUUGCUCACAUGGUUACUUGUCAUUAUGAUCGCUGUCGUGUACACGGAAACCGGAAACCGGAACACCAACUGUUAUAACAGGCUGAUCCAUGAGCAUGUGGACGGCUGCGUGACCUCGGGUCACCAGCCAAGUCCAUUUCGCUGAUUGAUUAUCGGGCAGAAUAAGUGGGCCGAACCCUCCCGAUAUACGCUGGGCCGCACAACUGUUAUAACAUUCUGCUUAGAACAAAGCUCAAACCGGGUUCAUAUGGACUUGCAUGCUGUAGUAAUUAUAAGUUGGUGAUUUGUAACUGUGCAUGAUAGUUCGACGAAACCCAUGAACCGAGGAAACUUAUGGUUCGACGAAAGGUGGAUCCUUUGUCAACCGGUUCUUGACGAAAGUCCUUGAUGGUUCAUCGCUUGAGGUUGAUCGUCGAGCUAUCUCACAUAUGGGUUGGUGUUCGAUAUUAAGAAUAGCUGUGGUGUAAACUUGUGUGAAUAUUCAAAUGCAUAUCCAUAUAUAUAUAUAUACUCGAUAUAUUGAUCCCUGUUGCACGUGAUUUUGGAAUUCAAAAGUUGGCAGCUUAUCAUUCAUUUCAUGUGAAAAUUGUUGACCAUUUAUUUGUUUAUUACAAGAAUUUCGUGAUUCCUUAACUCUCAAUAUAUGCACUCAACCCAAUAAUUCAAUAUUACCUUUGGCCACUAAAGGAAUCGGUCCAAUUAAAUUAUGGCUGAACAUAGCUUUUAUGCGAUGACUUUAAGAACCAUAAGAUGACAUUAUUGUUAAGUGAUUUGUGCCAUGUGAAUUCAUGACAUCAAGUGUCAGGCCUAUAGGUGAGUAUAUCUAGUAUGUCGGCCAUUGCAUGAGAAUUCAUUAUUGGUUGUGUAUGAAUUGAGGGCUUACAUGAAUUGAUAUAAUUUAUUGGUGCUAUUCGGAUAUCAUUGCUUGAAUGUACACUAUGAUGGCAAAUAAUAUGCUAACAACUUGAACGUAAACUAAUUUCGGGUACAUGAACAUUAUAGGCUUCGACUGAUUUAGUGUGUGCAAGUAACUAACCUUACCGAGCAAACCAAGGUGAGUUCACUACAUUCGAGCAUGCGUCCCAGUGGUUGGGGACAGUCAGUGGGACGUUAGGCAUCUUGGUAUUGGGAAGCUUGCUAUCUGGGAGUGCUGGAGUGGUCAUGGAUCGAGGCUCUUGGAUUAAAUUACAUUUGAUACAUUGGUUAUAAGCGUUACUAUGAAACAAUUGCUAAACAACUUAUUACAUGCUUCCGCUACAUAACUUUUGAGAAUUACUAUUAUGUUGAUAACUUAUUCUGGUAAAAUAAUGUCAUGACUUAUU
rnacentral:lncRNA from 1 species